rnacentral:rRNA from 1 species
UGGGGAAUUUUGGACAAUGGGCGAAAGCCUGAUCCAGCAAUGCCGCGUGUGUGAAGAAGGCCUUCGGGUUGUAAAGCACUUUUGUCCGGAAAGAAAUCCUUGGCUCUAAUACAGUCGGGGGAUGACGGUACCGGAAGAAUAAGCACCGGCUAACUACGUGCCAGCAGCCGCGGUAAUACGUAGGGUGCAAGCGUUAAUCGGAAUUACUGGGCGUAAAGCGUGCGCAGGCGGUUUGCUAAGACCGAUGUGAAAUCCCCGGGCUCAACCUGGGAACUGCAUUGGUGACUGGCAGGCUAGAGUAUGGCAGAGGGGGGUAGAAUUCCACGUGUAGCAGUGAAAUGCGUAGAGAUGUGGAGGAAUACCGAUGGCGAAGGCAGCCCCCUGGGCCAAUACUGACGCUCAUGCACGAAAGCGUGGGGAGCAAACAGGAUUAGAUACCCUGGUAGUCCACGCCCUAAACGAUGUCAACUAGUUGUUGGGGAUUCAUUUCCUUAGUAACGUAGCUAACGCGUGAAGUUGACCGCCUGGGAAGUACGGUCGCAAGAUUAAAACUCAAAGGAAUUGACGGGGUCAUAGCUGUUUCCU